GGUGAUGAUGAUGAGUGCUGUAUAUUCUGACACCUCUUGUAUGAGAUGAAUCGUAAGAUUCAUUGUUGAGCACAUAAAGCAACUCUCUGAGCC
rnacentral:snoRNA from 1 species